rnacentral:precursor_RNA from 1 species
GGCUCUGAGCGCCCCUCCUCGUCCGUCCCCUCCAGCUGGAGAGGAGCCGCGACAGAGCCGG